rnacentral:rRNA from 1 species
AAUGAACGCUGGCGGCGCGCCUAAUACAUGCAAGUCGAGCGAGAAGACGUAGCAAUACGUUUGUAAAGCGGCGAACGGGUGAGGAAUACAUGGGUAACCUACCCUCGAGUGGGGAAUAACUAGCCGAAAGGUUAGCUAAUACCGCGUACGCUCCUUGGACUUCGGUUCAGGGAGGAAAGCGAUACCGUGGGUAUCGCGCUCUUGGAUGGGCUCAUGUCCUAUCAGCUUGUUGGGAGGUAACGGCUCACCAAGGCUUCGACGGGUAGCUGGUCUGAGAGGACGAUCAGCCACACUGGCACUGCGACACGGGCCAGACUCCUACGGGAGGCAGCAGUAAGGAAUAUUGCGCAAUGGGCGAAAGCCUGACGCAGCGACGCCGC